rnacentral:rRNA from 1 species
CCUACGGGAGGCAGCAGUAGGGAAUCUUCCACAAUGGGCGAAAGCCUGAUGGAGCAACGCCGCGUGGGUGAAGAAGGUCUUCGGAUCGUAAAACCCUGUUGUUAGAGAAGAAAGUGCGUGAGAGUAACUGUUCACGUUUCGACGGUAUCUAACCAGAAAGCCACGGCUAACUACGUGCCAGCAGCCGCGGUAAUACGUAGGUGGCAAGCGUUAUCCGGUGUUUUUGGGCGUAAAGGGUACGCAGGCGGUCUUUUAAGUCUGAUGUGAAAGCCUUCGGCUUAACCGGAGUAGUGCAUUGGAAACUGGGAGACUUGAGUGCAGAAGAGGAGAGUGGAACUCUAUGUGUAGCGGUGAAAUGCGUAGAGAUAUGGAAGAACACCAGUGGCGAAAGCGGCUCUCUGGUCUGUAACUGACGCUGAGGUUCGAAAGCGUGGGUAGCAAACAGGAUUAGAUACCCGUGUAGUA